UGUGGGAGGUUCCUGUCUACUGAAGGUCUUCUACAGGCCAAAUAGGAUGAAAGAAACUGAAGUUACUAUUCUGACCCUGCCAGCCCAAUUUCUCUAGGGUGCCUGGAGGGAAACUCGCACACAGACAUCAAGAGAACAGCAAGGCCAAACGGAAGAGAGCUCAGGAGGAAAAGUUUAGGACUGGGUUUCCUGGGCGGAGAUGCUAUGCUGACUGAAUAUCAAUUACCAGUGUCAUUACUGCUUCAGUCCUGUAGUUCUUCAUAAUGCCACUGCCAGAAUCAAGUACGUGAAAGACAAGUGCAGGGGAAGAAGAUGAUGUGUCUGAAGGAGGUAUUCUCGAGCAAUGCAGAGCUUCAUCCACUGGUGAAAAGCAGAAAACAUACAAACAAAAUAAUGUUUUGCUGACACUUUGCUGUACUGUUCAGUGCAGUUACAUGAACAGACAACGUUUCCCAUGGAAGAUGCCAACUAAAGCAAUGAACUGGGAGUCUGUAUUGAGAAGACUUCCAGAGGGAGCUGCAAAUCAGCAGCAGCUGGAUUGGACUCAGAAGGAAUGAUGAUUUUGAUGGGAUUAUAGCUGAAUUCGAUUAAAAUGUUUUCUUUGUUAAAUAUAUCUGUUAUUUUCCUAAAUACCAAGAGGUACACUGACUCCUACUAGUCCUAGAAGAUUUCAAAUAUGCUUUUUGCUCAGAUUUAGGGAGUGUAGGAAGUGUCAGGUAGUACAGACGCAAGGGAGUUUAAGUACUUCUGCUAGUAUAUUGCAACACGCGAGUCCAGCUGACAAACAUAACUUAUGUAUGAACUUUUAACCUGACAUUUUCCCUUUAGUUUCAAUGGAUGGUAUCAAUUUUGAAUGUAUUACUAUUGUAAGAUUUACGGACGCUUGCUGAAGGCCACUGACUUCCAAUCAAGAAUCUGACAAUAUGGUUGCUUAGAGGCUUCUUCGCAGUCCUUCUGUAUCUUGUUUCUUAAAAGCUUUCCAAGUACAUGGCAAAGGAAUGCAAUGAAACAAAUGUCACUUUGUUCUUGAAAACAUAUGGAAAAAGCUUUCAGAAUACAACAGAUGCUUGAAUCUUCUAAUAGAUUUAUCUGUAUUCUUGUUUGUUUUGUUGACUAAAAUGUAAAAGUGUUUUUUAAAAACAGAUGUUAAAAGUCAUAUAGAUGUACUUUAGUUCCAUGGAGGUAGGACACUUAAAAACUGUAGCAAACCUGAACUUGUUUUAGCUGCUAUUUUAUAUGUGAAUGCAAAACAUCCUCAGUGAAAUGGUGUGUGUUUAAAAAAAAAAAAAAAAAGUCAAUGUACUUACUGUGGUUCUGUCUCUGGCUUUCCAUCCCUGGAG
ensembl:lncRNA